AGAGUUUUGUAUCCUGGCGUCAGGAUGAACGCUGCGGCGUGCUAACACAUGCAAGUCGAACGGACUCGGAUUGAAACCUAGUGAUUUCCGAGUUAGUGGCGGACGGGUGAGUAACGCGUGGAUAACCUGCCGUAUGCAGGGGGAUAACAGUUGGAAACAGCUGCUAAUACCGCAUAAGCGCACAAUACCGCAUGGUACUGUGUGAAAAGAUUUAUCGGCAUACGAUGGAUCCGCGUCCGAUUAGCCAGUUGGCGGGGUAACGGCCCACCAAAGCGACGAUCGGUAGCCGGCCUGAGAGGGUGGACGGCCACAUUGGGACUGAGACACGGCCCAAACUCCUACGGGAGGCAGCAGUGGGGAAUAUUGCACAAUGGGGGAAACCCUGAUGCAGCGACGCCGCGUGAGUGAAGAAGUAUCUCGGUAUGUAAAGCUCUAUCAGCAGGGAAGAAAAUGACGGUACCUGACUAAGAAGCCCCGGCUAACCACGUG
rnacentral:rRNA from 1 species